AUUGAACGCUGGCGGCAGGCCUAACACAUGCAAGUCGAACGAGUGGCGGACGUGUGAGUAAUGUGGGGGACACUGCCUUAUGGGGGGGGAUAACUACUGGAAACUGUAGCUAAUACCGCAUACCAUCAGAUGUGCCCAUAUGGGAUUAGAUUGUGGGUGGGGUAACGGCUCCACAAGGCGACGAUCCCUAGCUGGUCUGAGAGGAUGACCAGCCACACUGGAACUGAGACACGGUCCAGACUCCUACGGGAGGCAGCAGUGGGGAAUAUUGCACAAUGGGCGCAAGCCUGAUGCAGCCAUGCCGCGUGUAUGAAGAAGGCCUUCGGGUUGUAAAGUACUUUCAGCGGGGAGGCGUUACCCGCAGAAGAAGCACCGGCUAACUCCGUGCCAGCAGCCGCGGUAAUAC
rnacentral:rRNA from 1 species